CGCGUCGCCUCCUUCUCCGGUCCCCUCCCCCCUCCCGGCUGCCCCCUUCUCCGCUGCCUCCUCGCCUCCUUCUCCGCCUCCACCCCGGCCCCCGCGAAACAGGAAAAGUGGGGGAAGGAGAAAAAGGAGCGGUUGACCCGAGGGCCGAGUUGAUCGGAGCGCCGGCCGGGGACAGAAGGAGCGCGCUUGGUGACAAGUCAGGUGGAGAAGCUCAAGUCUUGAACUCUGCUUGGUUUCCCAGGUACAGGCUAGACCCCACCCACGAUGAUCACUGAAUCACCAGGUGCUGAGGCCUCUUUCUGUUGUCAAGAGCCAGAGACAACUGAAAGAGCCAGAGACAAUUGAAAGAUUUAAACAGACCAAAAGCCACUGCAAAUCCUGGAGUAGGCUUGUUGUGGUAACUCUCAAUAUCGGUGGCUGUCCAGAGACUGGGGUGGUAGGUUAUAAAAUAUGCAACAGCAUACAGUGAAGUUAUUUUCUACUUAGAAACAACAAAACCGAAUUUAACAGGAUUACAUCUCUCAGGAAGAUGCAGAGACCUUUCACAUUGCCCUCUGGUUUGGGAGUCCACUGACAGCUAUUGCAAGUCCCAGUAAGGCACUGCCCUGCCCCAGCGCUGUUGCUUGCUGGAUAGUACUUACUUAACUGGGGCAGAAGAGAAUAAAGUCCCCAGAAAGACACAGUUUUCUGGAAGAGCAAGGAGACAGAUUUGUAAAAAGAUAGGAGUAUGGAAUCUGUUCCAACUUCCCUUUUUCUCUCUGUCUGAAUUCUUACACAAACACAUAUCAGAAAGCCUUGAUAUGUGUCACACAAAAAAUGACUUUUUCUUUUCUU
rnacentral:lncRNA from 1 species